GCUGCGGGCCCUCCCCUCCCCCACGGUGCCCCGUCUGGCCAAAGGACAAAUCUCAAGGGGAAACCUGCAAAGACAAACAAGGAGCAGUGACUUCAUUAUCGUCGUUAAUUUGCCACUUCAGUUCCUCCCACAAGGGUCAGAGCCGGCACGGCUUGAACUCAGGACUGAGGCGGAGGCCGAGCCGGCCGCCUGCCUUUUCCGCCUUAAGCCUCUCCCACAGCCACUCGGCCUCCCCUCCUCCUCCCGGCCUUCAUUUCUCUGCAGGGGGUCAGGCUCCGGGUUUUUCUCUUCCGUUUCGCAGUCCUCGCAGCCUCAGCCUACCGCCCUCCUUUUUCAUUUAAAUUAUUUGGCCUUCCCUCCGGCUCUCCUGGCUCCAAAGGUUUGAAGACCACAUAGCCUGGUGACGCAGGGAAUGGGAGGAAGGAGUCUGUGGUACAAGCAAGAAAAGUAAUACAGAAGGUGGAAAUGGCUGGAUUGAAAGGAAGACAACUGUGAUAAGGGAUGACAGGCACCUGAGUCAAGGCCCCUGACCAGUGACUACCACAAUCAUCAAUCAUGACUGAUAAGCAAACUCCAAGGCAGCCUGAAAAGGCCAGAGAGAUCCAUUCAGACCCCGAAGGAAAGGGCACGGAGUCCUAGAUGGGUAGACCAGUUAUGCAGCCAAGGUGUGACACACAGUGACAAGAACACACAGCGAGAGGAUCGCCCGGAUAGGAAGUCACAUCCGGAGAC
ensembl:lncRNA